rnacentral:rRNA from 1 species
GGUGAACGCUGGCGGCGCGCCUAACACAUGCAAGUCGAACGAUUAAAGCACCUUCGGGUGUGUAUAAAGUGGCGAACGGCUGAGUAACACGUGGGCAACCUGCCCCUUUCAUUGGGAUAGCCACGGGAAACCGUGGAUAAUACCGAAUACUUCGAGACUUCCGCAUGGAAGACUCGAGAAAGCUCCGGCGGAGAGGGAUGGGCCCGCGGCCUGUUAGCUUGUUGGUGGGGUAACGGCCUACCAAGGCAAUGAUGGGUAGCUGGGUUGAGAGACCGACCAGCCAGAUUGGGACUGAGACACGGCCCAGACUCCUACGGGAGGCAGCAGAGGGGAAUCUUGCACAAUGGGCGAAAGCCUGAUGCAGCGACGCCGCGUGCGGGAUGAAGGCCUUCGGGUUGUAAACCGCUUUCAGCAGGGACGAGGCGAAAGUGACGGUACCUGCAGAAGAAGCCCCGGCUAACUACGUG